rnacentral:tRNA from 1 species
AGAAUAUGCUGUAGAUGGUUCUACGUUUUGAUUGCAGAUCGAAAAUAAGGGGUUCGAUUCCUCCAUAUUCUU